rnacentral:RNase_P_RNA from 1 species
GAAGUCCGCAAGGCAGUCGCUGCGCGCAAAAAGCGUGGAGGAAAGUCCGGGCUCCGCAGAGCGAGAUGCCGGCUAACGGCCGGGCGCCGUGAGGCGACGGAAAGUGCAGCAGAAAGCAAACCGCCGAUGGCCCGCGCAAGCGGGUUCAGGCAAGGGUGAAAGGGUAGGGUAAGAGCCUACCGCAGUCUUGGUAACAGGGCUGGCAUGGUAAACCCCAUCUGGAGCAAGGCCGAAUAAGGAAACGAUAACGCUGCUCGCAUAGUUUCCGGGUUGGCUGCUGGAGCACUGUGGUAACGCAGCGCCAAGAUGAAUGACUGCCCGAUGCCCCGAAAGGGGCGUCCGACAGAACCCGGCUUAUCAGCGGGCUUCCCGU